UACAGAGGGGGCAAGCGUUAUUCGGAAUUAUUGGGCGUAAAGGGCGCGUAGGCGGCUUCGCAAGUGGAAGGUGAAAUCCCUCGGCUUAACCGAGGAACUGCCCUCCAAACUGCGUUGCUUGAGGCCGGGAGAGGUGAGUGGAAUUCCCAGUGUAACGGUGAAAUGCGUAGAUAUUGGGAGGAACACCAGUGGCGAAGGCGGCUCACUGGACCGGUUCUGACGCUGAGGCGCGAAAGCGUGGGGAGCAAACGGG
rnacentral:rRNA from 1 species